GGAUGUGAAGGCAAUCUGGCUGUGACAUCUGUCACCCCGUUGAUCACCAAGGUUUGUCCCCUUCCUCCCUUGUGCUCUGUGUGUCCCUCCCAAAAGAGGACAACCACCUCCUAUAAGGAGGACCAUUUCCUUGCUCAGGGAUAUAUGAGUAGCUGCGUUCCCCUGCUGACCCUCCAAACAAACUCUCACAGGUAAUCUCCUGCCUCAGCCUCUGGAAUAGUGGACUUACGUGCCUGUUACCACACCGAGCCACAGAGGAUAAACU
rnacentral:snRNA from 1 species